rnacentral:rRNA from 1 species
CUCUUUUAGAUUAUAAUUUAAAGUAGGGCCUGCCCACUGAUUUUUUGAAGGGCCGCAGUAUUUUGACUGUGCAAAGGUAGCAUAAUCAUUAGUUUUUUAAUUGAAAGCUAGAAUGAAUGGUUUGAUGAGAAAAUAACUGUCUUAGUUUUAAUAAAAGAAUUUUAUUUUUAAGUUAAAAAGCUUAAAUAUUUUUAAAAGACGAGAAGACCCUAUAGAGUUUUAUUUUUAUUUUGAUUUAAAUUUUUAGUAUUAAUUUUUUAUAUUAAAAUAAAAAUUUGAUUGGGGUGAUUGAAAAAUUAAAUAAACUUUUUUUAAAUUAAAACAUAUAUAAAUGAAUAUUUGAUCCAUUAUUAAUUGAUUAAAAGAUUAAGUUACCUUAGGGAUAACAGCGUAAUUUUUCUUGAGAGUUCUAAUCGAAAGAAAAGAUUGCGA